UUCCCCUGCCUAAUAAUUUUUUGAAAUUUGGUGAAACAAGCUUGGCUGUUCCUUUAGGUUCCUGCUGUGCCUCUUCUGCUUGCCCAGAGCGCAGUGCUGCUGGUUAUCCCUCCCUCAUGGAAGCCACGGAGGCCUGACCCUGUGUGCUGGCUGCUGUUAAUGUUACUGACUCCAGCACCAGCUCCCAUGAAAGCCAGGCUGGGGCCCCCCUGCAGGAAGAUCCCUACUGGAGGAGACUCUGUGGCCGUGCAUCUGACAAGGAGAGAUGUUGGAUAUGCCUUCUCCCAGGCUGCGCUGAGUCCCUGGCACAUCCUCCAAAUGGUGUUUAAUCAGAAUCCAAGGUAGGGAGCAGACAGGUUUCACCUCUUUAAUCACCACCACUGAAGUAUUUCCACCAUACUGCAGUGCAGGGGGCAGAUUGUUUAUCCUUCCUGGAGCCAUCUCCACAUCUCCUUCAGUUGCCAAGGCACGGUGUUGGUAACAGGAGCAGACUUGGGCAUGACCAAGGAGGCCAAAGCUGGAGCUGUUACCUGGUCAGGAGGCUAAGGGGCACAUCCCCGGAUAUCCAGUGCCAGGAUACCCAGGAUACCCAGUGCCUUGAGACCCAGCAACAUCAUCUCUGGCCAUCAUCCAGAGCUGAGGGGUGAACGCUGCAGUUUUCCCUCUCACCCAGCCCUGGGAGAAGCACUGAGACCUGUACGUCAGAUCUGCUCCCUCCUCUCCCCAGGUGGAAAUGGGGAAGUAAAAACCUUAAUCCCUCCUCUCCUGGACACAAUGGGAAAGAGAAGCUGUCUUUGCUUUCCACUACCUUGCAGCUGAAAGGAGGAGGAGAAAAGUGAAUGUGGAAAGGGAGAAAGGAGAGGCUUUGGGCAUGGAGAUUCCCCUCAAUGACCACUCUGGAGUCUGCUGAAAUCUGAAAUGGGCACACUUGGGUGGGCAGUCUGCAGUGUGGCACCCCUGCUUGUAGGGAAAGCUUUUUCUGACUCAUACAGUAACAGUACAGGGCAAUCUGGGAAGGCAACCCAGGGAAAAAUCUGUCCCACCUGUGUUUGUGUCAGGGGUGUUGCUGGUUGUUAUUUAUAACAUUUAAUUAUUAUUUUUUAACUUGUCCCAGUUCUUCCCAGGCAGAGAAGGUCAUUUCAGCCAUUGCCCAGGAAAGAAGAUGGUGUUAAACUGGUAGAAAAAGAAAAAAAAAGCUAAAUUCCUGUGGGUUUAUUUUUUGUUUUCUUUAUUUUUUUCUUGGUUUUGCCAUUCUCACUUUUGUAAGCACUCCUACAUACCUCACACAAAUGAGAGUUGAACUUGGCAUUUAAAAAAACAAAGGGUGGAGCAGCACAGAAAAAUGGAGGUGAGCCUGUGUUAAUGAUUGGCAAAUAAAAACCCAAACAUUAAACCGAUUUCUUGUCAAAAAGCACCAGGAACGUGUGCCAGGGUGGUGGGCAGAGGGGGCAGGCAGCUGGGCAGGGGAGAACCUGGCAGAGGGAAUACCCUUUGCCCACAGCCCCUGCCUGUGUUUGUGUGAUGCCUGGCAUGGGAUGAGAGCCUUUUGGAGAAGGAAAAUCAGCCCUUGCUUACAGAUGGGAUGAGUGUGGGCACCAAACAGGACAUGCUGGUUCUGGAGAGGGUCACUUGUGGCAGCAGCUCCAGGUUUAUGGCCAUGAGUUGCCUCUGCAGUGUGUGAGAAUGGUCAGGGACACUGAAAGAGGACCACACCUAUGUCCUGUCUGUGGCCUGAGGUUGUCACCAUCAUAUACCUAAGCUGGGAGGAAUGGUUACUGCUGUGAAAGGAUGCAAAAUCAGGCAUAAAAUGGAAAGAAAUUACAAUUCUGUGGCAAGUUUCCUCUACUUCUUUUGCUCUCUCUCUAUGGUUAAAAAGAAGAAGUUGAGGGGCUUGGGGUCUUCCACAAGUGUUCACCUCAGGCUGUGGGCUCAAAACUUGCCCUAUUUAGAGUGCAAUUGCCUUACUUUGCUGUGGUCUGGUAUAACUGUGAUGUGGGAUGAACACACUCCUCUGCCCUGGCAGCAUGACCCUGCCCAGGAGUAAAUGACUGUGGCAGCUGUCAAGUAAAUGCAAUAAAAAAAUUAAAUAUAGCUGUUAACGCAUCUCUUUUUGCUUUGACUCUUAUAAUUAGGUCAGAUAGAGCAGCUACUAAUUUGAGUAGUUUCUGUGGUUCCCCUCAGACAGCCUUUUUAGCAGCAGUCCCUAAUUUUUAAUUGGGCUAUGGAAAGACAUUACCCUUUUCUGAGCCAUUUGCUAGACCUGCUCACCUCCACUGACAGUGAUACACAAUGUUACUGCACAGAAGCCAAAACCAACAAAUCAACAAACAACCCGUGGUCUCUGAUAAUCCAGGUGACGUAGGUAAUAAUUUACGGAAGACACUUGCAUGCUGGGUUUUUGGUCGUGACAAGCGAGCUGUGACUGUCAGGGUGCAUGCUCUGGCCUUUCACAGGAAUGGAGAUAAAGAUUUGAAUCUAGGACAUCCAGGGCUAGGUCAGCUCAAAGGUCCCUGACAAGGGUUUGUCUCUAGGAUGAAUGUAUGCCCCUUCCAUCAAAGGGUCCAACGCAGAGGUAGCUGUGUUGCACCAGGAUGCUUGCAGGGGAGUAAGGCUGGCUGUGCCAUCCCAUGCCACCCUAGAGCUCCUGAAUCUCCCAGCUGAACAAGACUCAUGAUUCAUGCAUCAUGAAAUCAAAGGGAGGCAACAUAGCUCUCUAAUCUGAUAUAUGUGAAGUACAAGCUGGGUGGCUUAUUAAUUCCAACUAGAGAAUGUUUUUUUUGUUUUUCCUUCUUUCAGAAAAAAAACCCCAAAAAACAAGUAAACAAACCAAAAAUUUGUGACUUAAUGGUUUCCAGCGAUGGAGAGUCCACAGCAUGACUAAGUUGUUGCAGUGCUUAAUUGUGCUGAUGAAGACAAUGGAGUUACUGUAAACUGAAGUUAUACUGCAUACAAAAUUUGGCCUAGUUACCCGAAAGGAGCAGCACUUUAAAGUCUCUGUAUGUCUUUAAAUAAAAUUAUUCUCCAGCAGAA